rnacentral:rRNA from 1 species
CUCUGGGGUAGUAUUUAUUARAUGGAAACCAACCCCUUCGGGGUGAUGUGGUGAUUCAUAAUAAGCUUGCGGAUCGCCGGUGGCGAUGGAUCAUUCAAGUUUCUGCCCUAUCAGCUUUGGACGGUAUGGUAUUGGCAUACCGUGGCUUUAACGGGUAACGGGGAAUUAGGGUUCGAUUCCGGAGAGGGGGCCUGAGAGAUGGCCACCACAUCCAAGGAAGGCAGCAGGCGCGUAAAUUACCCAAUCUCGACACAAGGAGGUAGUGACAAUAAAUAACAAUGCCGGGCCUUUAUAGGUCUGGCAAUUGGAAUGAGAACAAUUUAAACCCCUUAUCGAGGAUCAAUUGGAGGGCAAGUCUGGUGCCAGCAGCCGCGGUAAUUCCAGCUCCAAUAGCGUAUAUUAAAGUUGUUGCAGUUAAAAAGCUCGUAGUUGGAUUUGUGGCGGUCCCUGUGGUCCAAUUUUGGUACUCUCGGGGACUGCCAUCCUUGGGUGGAUCCUGUGUGGCAUUAGGUUGUCGUGCAGGGGAUGCCCAUCGUUUACUGUGAAAAAAUUAGAGUGUUCAAAGCAGGCUUACGC